GACGAACGCUGGCGGCGUGCUUAACACAUGCAAGUCGAACGGAGAGGCCCUGCUUUUGUGGGGUGCUCGAGUGGCGAGCGGGUGAGUAACACGUGAGUAACCUGCCCUUGACCUUGGGAUAACUUCAGGAAACUGGGGCUAAUACCGGAUAGGAGCUCCUGCUGCAUGGUGGGGGUUGGAAAGUUUCGGCGGUUGGGGAUGGACUCGCGGCUUAUCAGCUUGUAGGUGGGGUAGUGGCUUACCAAGGCUUUGACGGGUAGCCGGCCUGAGAGGGUGACCGGCCACAUUGGGACUGAGAUACGGCCCAGACUCCUACGGGAGGCAGCAGUGGGGAAUAUUGCACAAUGGGCGGAAGCCUGAUGCAGCAACGCCGCGUGCGGGAUGACGGCCUUCGGGUUGUAAACCGCUUUCGCCUGUGACGAAGCGUGAGUGACGGUAAUGGGUAAAGAAGCACCGGCUAACUACGUG
rnacentral:rRNA from 1 species